rnacentral:tRNA from 1 species
AGUUAAUGAGCUUGAACAAGCAUAUGUUUUGAAAACAUAAGAUAGAAAUUUAACUUUCUAUUAACUU